GACGAACGCUGGCGGCGUGCUUAACACAUGCAAGUCGAACGGAAAGGCCCUGCUUUUGUGGGGUGCUCGAGUGGCGAACGGGUGAGUAACACGUGAGUAACCUGCCCUUGACUUUGGGAUAACUUCAAGAAACUGGGGCUAAUACCGGAUAGGAGCUCCUGCUGCAUGGUGGGGGUUGGAAAGUUUCGGAGGUUGGGGAUGGACUCGCGGCUUAUCAGCUUGUUGGUGGGGUAGUGGCGUACCAAGGCUUUGACGGGUAGCCGGCCUGAGAGGGUGACCGGCCACAUUGGGACUGAGAUACGGCCCAGACGCCUACGGGAGGCAGCAGUGGGGAAUAUUGCACAAUGGGCGGAAGCCUGAUGCAGCAACGCCGCGUGCGGGAAGACGGCCUUCGGGUUGUAAACCGCUUUCGCCUGUGACGAAGCGUGAGUGACGGUAAUGGGUAAAGAAGCACCGGCUAACUACGUG
rnacentral:rRNA from 1 species